rnacentral:rRNA from 1 species
ACGGCUCAGUAACACGUGGCUAACCCACCCUUGAGACGGAGAAAACCCCGGGAAACUGGGGUUAAUCUCCGAUAAGAGAAGACACCUGGAAUGGGUCUCCUCUCAAAGGGCGCCUAGACCAUGCUUCUAGGCGUUGCUCAAGGACGGGGCCGCGGCCGAUCAGGUUGUUGGUGAGGCAACGGCUCACCAAGCCUAUAACCGGUACGGGCCGUGAGAGCGGGAGCCCGGAGAUGGGCACUGAGAUAAGGGCCCAGGCCCUACGGGGCGCAGCAGUUGCGAAAACUCCGCAAUGCACGAAAGUGUGACGGGGCUACCCCGAGUGCCGUCCGCUGAGGACGGCUUUUCCCCGGUGUAAGGAGCCGGGGGAAUAAGGAGAGGGCAAGUCUGGUGUCAGCCGCCGCGGUAAUACCAGCUCUCCGAGUGGUAGGGAUGAUUAUUGGGCUUAAAGCGUCCGUAGCCGGCCCGGCAAGUCUUCCGUUAAAUCCAACGAUUCAAUCGUUGGACUGCAGGAGAUACUGUUGGGCUAGGAGGCGGGAGAGGCCGACGGUAUUCUCGGGGUAGGGGUAAAAUCCUAUAAUCCCGGGAGGACCACCAGUGGCGAAGGCGGUCGGCUAGAACGCGCUCGACGGUGAGGGACGAAAGCUGGGGGAGCGAACCGGAUUAGAUACCCGGGUAGUCGCAGCUGUAAACGAUGCGGGCUAGGUGUUGGGGCGGCUACGGGCCGCUUCAGUGCCGCAGGGAAACCAUUAAGCCCGCCGCCUGGGGAGUACGGCCGCAAGGCUGAAACUUAAAGGAAUUGGCGGGGGAG